UGAUGACCCUGUUGCAACAGACCAAGUUAGGGGAUUCCAGUGGUCAAGCUCCUCCUCCCAUGUGUGCUGCUAAUUUUGUUGGUACAAUGUUAACUGAGAGUCUUGUUUCUGAUUCCAAACUAUGCAUGCUUACACAUAUUAAUUCUGUCACCUGGAUUAUUGGUUCAGGGGCAUCCAAUCAUAUGACACAUAAUAAACAACUACUCUUUAACAUCAUACUUUUUACUGUUCCUUAUCUUGUAACUUUAUCUAAUGGUUACAAAGUAAAAGUAACUUGUACAGGUUCUUUUGCACUAACUUCUUCCCUCACUCUUCAUAAUGUGCUUCUGGUCCCUUCCUUUAAACACAACUUGAUUUCUGUUCACAAGUUGAUUAAACAGUUGCACUGUAUAGUUUCAUUCACUCCAACUUCCUGUUUACUUCACAUGAUACAGGACCCUUCUCUGAAGAGGCCUCUUGAUAUUGGUAAAGAGGAAGCUGGCUUAUACAAACUGUGUUGGGUGCCUCCUUCCCUUUCUCCAUCUUCUGUUUCUCCUUUUACUUCUGUGUGUGCUUUGCCUAAUUUUUGUAAUGAUGAUACUGUGUCUGACAACAAAAAUGUUUGUUUACCUUCAAUUGUAAACUGAUGACACUAUGUCUGACAGCAAAAAAUGUUUGUUUACCUUCAAUUGUAAACAAUUCCAUUUGUUAUAAUGUUGUUAUCAAUGAUAUGAAUUACAUUUGGCAUUUAAGACUGGCACAUACGCCUUUUACAAAUAUGAGACAUAUUUCAGGUUUGUCUUUUCCACUUGCUCCUAAACAACCCUUUCCCUGUUCUAUCUGCCCUAUGGCCAAGCAGACUAGACUUCCUUUUCAUGACAGUAGUAUCAGUACAACCAGACCAUUCCAAUUGAUACACGUGGAUACUUGGGGACCUUACCACACUUCUACUUCUUUUGGUUACAAAUACUUCCUUACUAUAGUUGAUGACUUCUCUAGGGCAACCUGGACACACCUAAUGGGAUCCAAAAGCAAUGCCUUUUC
rnacentral:lncRNA from 1 species